ensembl:snRNA U2 U2 spliceosomal RNA
AUUGCUUCUUGGCCUUUUGGCUAAGAUCAAGUGUAAAUUUAUGUCUGACAACUCUAACAUCAAAAAUAUGUAAUGGUCUUUUGCAUUGCUGUUGCUAGUGUCAACUCAUAGCAACUCAUAUUAUAUGGUUAGUUUUGUUUUAGUAUGAGCUUC